GUAGUUAGCCGGGGCUUCCUCCUUGGCUACCGUCACUUUCUUCGUCACCAAGGACAGAGGUUUACAAUCCGAAGACCUUCUUCCCUCACGCGGCGUUGCUGGGUCAGGCUUGCGCCCAUUGCCCAAUAUUCCCCACUGCUGCCUCCCGUAGGAGUCUGGACCGUGUCUCAGUUCCAGUGUGGCCGAUCAGCCUCUCAGCUCGGCUACCCAUCGUUGGCUAGGUGGGCCGUUACCCCGCCUACUACCUAAUGGGACGCGAACCCCUCCUUCUGCGGAUUGCUCCUUUGACCCCUGAGCCAUGCGACUCUGUGGUCUUAUGCGGUAUUAGCACUUGUUUCCAGGUGUUAUCCCCCUCAAAAGGGCAGGUUGUUCACGCGUUACUCACCCGUUCGCCACUAGCUAUAAAUCCGAAAACCUAUAGCCCGUUCGACUUGCAUGUGUUAGGCACGCCGCCAGCGUUCGUCCUGAGCCACGAAUCAAACUACUGA
rnacentral:rRNA from 1 species